AAUCAACGCUGGCGGCGUGCCUAACACAUGCAAGUCGAACGCGAGAGGGGCUUCGGCCCCGAUUGAGUGGCGAACGGGUGAGUAACGCGUGGGUGACCUACCUUCGAGUGGGGGAUAACGUCCCGAAAGGGACGCUAAUACCGCAUAACAUCCUGCUUUUGAAUGGGUGGAGAUCAAAGCCGGGGAUCGCAAGACCUGGCGCUUGAUGAGGGGCCCGCGUCUGAUUAGCUAGNGGUGAGGUAACGGCCCACCAAGGCAACGAUCAGUAUCCGGCCUGAGAGGGCGGACGGGACACACUGGGACUGAGACACGGCCCAGGACUCCUACGGGAGGCAGCAGUGGGGAAUUGUUCGCAAUGGGCGCAAGCCUGACGACGCAACGCCGCGUGGAGGAUGAAGGUCUUCGGAUUGUAAACUCCUGUUGCCCGGGACGAAUGGCUCCGACCUAACACGUCGGAGUGUGACGGUACCGGGUGAGGGAAGCCCCGGCUAACUCUGUGCCAGCAGCCGCGGUAA
rnacentral:rRNA from 1 species